rnacentral:rRNA from 1 species
GACGAACGCUGGCGGCGUGCUUAAAACAUGCAAGUCGAACGGACUUCUCAUGAAGCUUGCGAUUGAGAAGUUAGUGGCGGACGGGUGAGUAACGCGUGGGCAACCUGCCCCUGAGCCCGGGAUAACAGUUCGAAAGGACUGCUAAGACCGGAUAUACUUGCGGGGAAGCAUUUCUCUGUAAGGAAAGGGAACGCUCAGGGAUGGGCCCGCGUCCCAUUAGCUAGUUGGUGAGGUAACGGCCCACAAGGCGACGAUGGGUAGCCGGCCUGAGAGGGUGAACGGCCACACUGGGACUGAGACACGGCCCAGACUCCUACGGGAGGCAGCAGUUGGGAAUCUUCGGCAAUGGGCGCAAGCCUGACCGAGCAACGCCGCGUGAGUGAUGAAGGUUUUCGGAUUGUAAAGCUCUGUCUUCCGGGACGAUAAUGACGGUACCGGAGGAGGAAGCCACGGCUAACUACGUG